rnacentral:rRNA from 1 species
GAGGUCCCGCCUGCCCAGUGACACACAAGUUUAACGGCCGCGGUAUUUUAACCGUGCGAAGGUAGCGUAAUCACUUGUCUUUUAAAUGAAGACCGGUAUGAAUGGCAUCACGAGGGCUUAACUGUCUCCCCCCUCCAGUCAAUGAAAUUGACCUUCCCGUGCAGAGGCGGGAAUAUUAAUAUAAGACGAGAAGACCCUGUGGAGCUUUAGACUUAAAAUAAGUUAUGUUUAAUAUACUUAAUUAUAAGAAAAAACUUAGUAACUAAAUAUUGAAAUGUCUUUUGUUGGGGCGACCGAGGGGAAAAACACAACCCCCUUGUAGACCGGGGAUAUAAUCCCUAGCACUCAGAGUUCCCACUCCAAGUAACAGAAAUUCUGACUUCCUGAUCCGGAGUAUUCCGAUCAACGAACCGAGUUACCCCAGGGAUAACAGCGCAAUCCCCUUUAAGAGCCCUUAUCGACAAGGGGGUUUACGACCUCGAUGUUGGAUCAGGACAUCCUAAUGGUGCAGCCGCUAUUAAGGGUUCGUUUGUUCAACGAUUAAAGUCCUACGUGA